CGCGACGUCACGCGCGCGCCUCCGGUCUGGGCCGCGGGCUGCUCGGGGUCGCGGUCGCGCGUGGCGGCCGCGGUCUCCUGGCGCGUCGCCGUCGCCGUCUCGGGCCGUGUGCGAGCCUCCCCGGGGCUGCACCAUGUACCACAGCAGCAGCCAGAAGCGGCACUGGACCUUUGCGAGCGAGGAGCAGCUGGCGCGCCUGCGGGCCGACGCCAACCGCAAAUUCAAGUGCAAAGCGGUGGCUAACGGGAAGGUUCUUCCAAAUGAUCCAGUAUUUCUUGAGCCUCAUGAAGAAAUGACACUUUGCAAAUACUAUGAGAAAAGACUAUUGGAAUUCUGUUCGGUGUUUAAGCCAGCAAUGCCCCGCUCUGUUGUGGGUACAGCUUGUAUGUAUUUCAAGCGUUUUUAUCUUAAUAAUUCAGUAAUGGAAUAUCACCCCCGGAUAAUAAUGCUCACUUGUGCAUUUUUGGCCUGCAAAGUAGAUGAAUUCAAUGUGUCUAGUCCUCAGUUUGUUGGAAAUCUUCGAGAGAGUCCCCUUGGACAGGAGAAGGCACUGGAACAGAUUUUGGAAUAUGAACUACUACUUAUACAGCAGCUUAAUUUUCACCUUAUUGUCCACAAUCCUUACCGACCAUUUGAAGGCUUUCUCAUUGAUAUAAAGACUCGAUACCCCAUGUUGGAGAAUCCAGAGAUUUUGAGGAAAACAGCUGAUGAUUUUCUUAGUAGAAUUGCAUUGACAGAUGCUUAUCUUUUAUACACACCUUCACAAAUUGCCCUGACAGCUAUCUUAUCAAGUGCCUCUAGGGCUGGAAUUACUAUGGAAAGCUAUUUAUCAGAAAGUCUAAUGCUGAGAGAAAAUAGAACUUGCCUGUCACAGUUACUGGAUAUAAUGAAAAGCAUGAGAAACCUAGUAAAAAAGUAUGAACCACCCAGGCCUGAAGAAGUUGCUGUUCUGAAACAAAAAUUGGAGCGAUGCCAUUCUGCCGACCUUGCGCUUAAUGUGGUGACGAAGAAGAGGAAAGGCUAUGAAGAUGAUGACUAUGUAUCAAAGAAACCCAAACAAGAAGAGGAGGAAUGGACUGAUGAUGACCUGAUAGAUGCUCUCUAACCUUUUGAAGUCACAACGGCAGUGCUAAACGAAGCAACAGAAGUAGGAAGCAUGUCUGACAUUUAAGUAGUACAAUAUCACUAAAAUCACUAAAGUUUGGCAUCAGAGCAAGAUCUCACAUGUAUUUCUGAAAAUUUUCUACCCAGCCCAUUAAAAAAAAAAAAAUUGUUUCAAAGAUUUUAUUUCACCA